rnacentral:rRNA from 1 species
GGGGAAUUUUCCGCAAUGGGCGAAAGCCUGACGGAGCAAUACCGCGUGAGGGAUGAAGGCCUAUGGGUUGUAAACCUCUUUUUUCAGGGAGGAAUCAAUGACGUGUACCUGAAGAAUAAGCAUCGGCUAACUCCGUGCCAGCAGCCGCGGUAAGACGGAGGAUGCAAGUGUUAUCCGGAAUCACUGGGCGUAAAGCGUCUGUAGGUGGUCAAAUAAGUCAACUGUUAAAUCUUGAGGCUCAACUUCAAAAUCGCAGUCGAAACUAUUAGACUAGAGUAUAGUAGGGGUAAAGGGAAUUUCCAGUGGAGCGGUGAAAUGCGUAGAGAUUGGAAAGAACACCGAUGGCGAAGGCACUUUACUGGGCUAUUACUAACACUCAGAGACGAAAGCUAGGGUAGCAAAUGGGAUUAGAUACCCCAGUAGUC